rnacentral:rRNA from 1 species
CUGCGCCACUAGUGGUGAUCAUUAUUAUUGGGCCUAAAACGUCCGUAGCCGGUUUAGUAAAUGCCUGGGUAAAUCGUGUAGCUUAACUAUACGACUUCCGGGUAGACUGCUAAACUUGAGACCGGGAGAGGCUAGAGGUACUCCUGGGGUAGAGGUGAAAUUCUGUAAUCCUAGGGGGACCACCAGUGGCGAAGGCGUCUAGCUAGAACGGGUCUGACGGUGAGGGACGAAGCCCUGGGGCACAAACCGGAUUAGAUACCCGAGUAGUCC